CACGUAGGGCGCAAGCGUUGUCCGGAAUUAUUGGGCGUAAAGAGCUCGUAGGCGGUCUGUUGCGUCCGCUGUGAAAACUCGGGGCUUAACCCCGAGCCUGCAGUGGAUACGGGCAGACUAGAGGUAGGUAGGGGAGAAUGGAAUUCCCGGUGUAGCGGUGAAAUGCGCAGAUAUCGGGAGGAACACCAGUGGCGAAGGCGACUACCUGGCCUGUUCUUGACGCUGAGGCGCGAAAGCUAGGGGAGCAAACGGG
rnacentral:rRNA from 1 species